rnacentral:rRNA from 1 species
GAUUAUGGCUCAGGAUGAACGCUAGCGGCAGGCUUAACACAUGCAAGUCGAGGGGCAUCGGGAGUAGCAAUACUGCCGGCGACCGGCGCAAGGGUGCGUAACGCGUGAGCAACAUGCCCGUAUCAGGGGGAUAAUCCAUGGAAACGUGGUCUAAUACCCCAUAGUAAUUAUGUAAGGCAUCUUAUAUAAUUUAAAGCUUUGGUGGAUACGGAUUGGCUCGCGUGACAUUAGCUGGAUGGUAAGGUAACGGCUUACCAUGGCUACGAUGUCUAGGGGUUCUGAGAGGAAGGUCCCCCACACUGGAACUGAGACACGGUCCAGACUCCUACGGGAGGCAGCAGUGAGGAAUAUUGGACAAUGGAUGGAAAUCUGAUCCAGCCAUGCCGCGUGCCAGGAAGACGGCCCUAUGGGUUGUAAACUGCUUUUGUAUGGGAGCAAUAAGGGCUACGUGUAGUCCGAUGAGAGUACCAUACGAAUAAGCACCGGCUAACUCCGUGCCAGCAGCCGC